rnacentral:rRNA from 1 species
AGGACGAACGCUGGCGGCGUGCUUAACACAUGCAAGUCGAGCGGAAAGGCCCUUCGGGGUACUCGAGCGGCGAACGGGUGAGUAACACGUGAGCAAUCUGCCCUUAGCUCCGGGAUAGCUCCGGGAAACCGGAAUUAAUACCGGAUAUUACUACGGCCGACAUCUGCUGUGGUGGAAAGGAUUCCGGCUAAGGAUGAGCUCGCGGCCUAUCAGCUAGUUGGUGAGGUAACGGCUCACCAAGGCGACGACGGGUAGCCGGCCUGAGAGGGCGACCGGCCACACUGGGACUGAGACACGGCCCAGACUCCUACGGGAGGCAGCAGUGGGGAAUAUUGCGCAAUGGGCGAAAGCCUGACGCAGCGACGCCGCGUGGGGGAUGAAGGCCUUCGGGUUGUAACCCUUUCAGCAGGGACGAAGCGAAGUGAUGGUACCUGCAGAAGAAGCGCCGGCUAACUACGCGCCAGCAGCCGC